rnacentral:tRNA from 1 species
GAAGGUAUGGCUCACGUGUUAGAGCACCUGCCUAGCAAGCAUGAGGCCCUGAGUUCAGACCUCACUGCCAUCA